GAUGAACGCUGGCGGCGUGCCUAAUACAUGCAAGUCGAGCGGACAGACGAGGAGCUUGCUCCUCUGACGUUAGCGGCGGAGGGGUGAGUAACACGUGGAUAACCUCCCUAUCAGACUGGGAAAACUUCGGGAAACGGGAGCUAAUACCGUAUAAGAUAUUGAACCGUAGGGGUCAAUGGUGAAAGACGGUGUUGCUGGAACUUCUCGCUGGUUACGAGCCUGUUUAGGGAGUUGGUAAGGUAACAGCUUUUCAAGGCUACGAUGCGUAGCCGAGCUGAGGGGGUGAUCGGCCACACUGGAACUGAGACACGGUCCAUAGUCCUACGGGAGGCAGCAGUAGGGAAUCUUCCGCAAUGGGCGAAAGCCUGACGGAGCAACGCCGCGUGAGUGAUGAAGGUCUUCGGAUCGUAAAACUCUGUUAUUAGGGAAGAACAAAUGUGUAAGUAACUAUGCACGUCUUGACGGUACCUAAUCAGAAAGCCACGGCUAACUACGUG
rnacentral:rRNA from 1 species